UAUCAAAUUUUCUCCGAAGGAAAGAGCAAGUUGGUAAUGGUAGAGACUGGAGCGAAGAGGAAGCGAAUGGGCAAGAGAGAAGGAGAAGCUGUUUUCCCCAAAACGACAUCAAAUUGGCCUGCGAUCAAACCAAAACAAAAUCUCCACAUCACUCGCCUCAAAGACACCGAUCUUUUCAUAAUGUUCAGGUUGAAAAUUUUCUUUCAUCAGCUGAAUCAAAAGCAUUCGUGAACGCUGCAGAAUCUCUUGGUUUUGCUCACCAAGGGAGUUUGGGGCCAGCAAAAGGCGAGGCUUACAGAGAUAAUGAUCGAAUCUCAGUGAACGACCCUGUUCUUGCGGAUGCAAUAUGGGCUUCUGGUCUUAGCCAAUUGUUUUCUGAUAUUAAAAUUCGUGGGAAAUCUGCUUUUGGCUUGAAUCCCAAUAUCCGAUUCUACAGGUAUUACAUCGGAUUAGGAAGAUUUACACUAUGGAUUUUAUGAUUGACCCUUCGUGAAAUUUUGCUCCUUUUUACCAUUAUGUAAUUGUUGUUACGGAUUAAGCGCACUAAUCCUUUAUUAACGAGAGCAAUAAUAUACAAGAUAGACAAAU